rnacentral:antisense_RNA from 1 species
CACAACCCUCAGCUGUCAGGUUUCCCUGGCACCCAGAGGGGACCGAGCCAGCAGCUGACCUGAAAACAGCGAGUCUGCUGACUGUCCAGCGACCAUUUCCCUCUAUUGAGAAUUUUAACCAAUUGUCUGUUGUUUGUAGUUAUUUGAUAUUGGCUGUGGACCCACAAAGUCACACAAGGCUGAAGGAUGGACAGCACAGAAGAGGCAGUGCAUCUUAACAAAAUCAGGGUUCUGGAAGAAGGGAGGGGUGGUGAAUGGUUGUUGCAAUCAACAGUUCAUACUUCAAUGGAAAGAAGGUGGGAUUCGAUUCCUGGUCGCAAAUCUUCACUCUGUCACCUGCUAUCUGUGUGCCCUCAGUCUCCCAUCAAGGAGUGAUGUCUGUUUCUCCACCUCUUGAAUCUGGGCUGGCCUUGCCAAUAUAAUAUGGCAGAAGUGACAUUGUUUCAGUUCUGAGUCAAAGCCUGAGGAGGCCUUGCAUGCUUCUACUCUCUCUUGCAACCCUGCACUGCCACAUAUCAACAAGACUUAUCAACAAGCCUGGGAUUGCCUGCUAGAUGAUGAAAGAUAUAUGGCCCGCUUGCUCCCAUCACUCCAGCUGAUAGCCAGCCAACCCUAAGAAGCAAAGUCACCUAGCUGAUUAGUAGCUGACCACUGACACAAAAGUAAGAUCAUCUGAGACCAGAAGACAGCCCAUCUGAGCUCAGCCCAAAUUACUGACCCACAAAAUAAUAAUAAAUAAAUGGUUAUUAUUUUUAUGUCACUGAA